AUCAGUAGGUUGCCGCCCCCGCCGGGCCGCGCUCUGCUUGGGACGGGGCCUCGACUCCCCGGGCCCGCUUCGUCCGGCCCAGGCCGUGGGCUUUCUUCCUAACCCACAGCCAUUUCCCUCCUCCUGGGCUGCCGGGACCGCGGCCGAAGGGCACUGACGGCCACAGGAGGGUGUGCUGCAGCCGACGAGCCCGAGGACAGGGGCACCGCAGCUCUCUCCGCCUUCGCGGUCCUCCUCCUCUAUAGCCUCAUGACACCCACCCGGGGCCGGAAACGCGACACAGCCGGGGCCUCCCGGGCUCGACUCACAGGGGCACAAGCCUCUUCUCUUUCCAGGUGAGUGAACUCCUCUGGAUCCCUCAAGACCCCACCCAAAUUACUCUACGAUCUUGGUCCAGGCGCGCCCCCGCGCGUCCGUCGAGGGUACAAACCAGGAUUGACUCGUUUCCCUCCGAGGGGCCUUUCCGGUGUUCCGGUCCGCUGAGCCGACCUUCAGGCUUCCCUACAGCCCAGGAGGGAAGGUUUCCGCUACCCUGGAACAGCCCGGCCACGACACGUGAGACUCGGAGGAUUCUCCAAUGGACUUUCUCCUUAGAACAUGCCCCUCCUACUCCACUAAAAGGGCCUCCCCUCUGUUCCCCACUCACCCAGGGUUUUGCUAUAGCUUGCCUGACCCAAUUGCAAUUCUCUGUUCUUGAAUAAACUCCAUUUUGUUGAUAACA